rnacentral:rRNA from 1 species
UACGUAGGCAGCAAGCGUUGUUCGGAAUUACUGGGCGUAAAGAGUGUGUAGGCGGUGCUCUAAGUCUGUUGUGAAAUCUCCCGGCUUAACUGGGAGGGUGCGGCGGAAACUGGAGUGCUCGAGUAUGGGAGAGGUAAGCGGAAUUCCUGGUGUAGCGGUGAAAUGCGCAGAUAUCAGGAGGAACACCGGUGGCGAAGGCGGGGUCUCUGGGCCGAUACUGACGCUGAGGAGCGAAAGCAUGGGUAGCGAACAGG